rnacentral:rRNA from 1 species
CCUACACAUGCCGUCGAGCGGAACGAGUUAUCUGAACCUUCGGGGAAAGAUAACGGCGUCGAGCGGCGGACGGGUGAGUAAUGCCUAGGAAUUGCCCUGAUGUGGGGGAUAACCAUUGGAAACGAUGGCUAAUACCGCAUAAUACCUACGGGUCAAAGAGGGGGACCUUCGGGCCUCUCGCGUCAGGAUAUGCCUAGGUGGGAUUAGCUAGUUGGUGAGGUAAUGGCUCACCAAGGCGACGAUCCCUAGCUGGUCUGAGAGGAUGAUCAGCCACACUGGAACUGAGACACGGUCCAGACUCCUACGGGAGGCAGCAGUGGGGAAUAUUGCACAAUGGGCGCAAGCCUGAUGCAGCCAUGCCGCGUGUGUGAAGAAGGCCUUCGGGUUGUAAAGCACUUUCAGUCGUGAGGAAGGUAGUGUAGUUAAUAGCUGCAUUAUUUGACGUUAGCGACAGAAGAAGCACCGGCUAACUCCGUGCCAGCAGCCGCGGUAAUACGGAGGGUGCGAGCGUUAAUCGGAAUUACUGGGCGUAAAGCGCAUGCAGGUGGUUUGUUAAGUCAGAUGUGAAAGCCCGGGGCUCAACCUCGGAAUAGCAUUUGAAACUGGCAGACUAGAGUACUGUAGAGGGGGGUAGAAUUUCAGGUGUAGCGCUGAAAUGCGUAGAGAUCUGAAGGAAUACCGGUGGCGAAGGCGGCCCCCUGGACAGAUACUGACACUCAGAUGCGAAAGCGUGGGGAGCAAACAGGAUUAGAUACCCUGGUAGUCCACGCCGUAAACGAUGUCUACUUGGAGGUUGUGGCCUUGAGCCGUGGCUUUCGGAGCUAACGCGUUAAGUAGACCGCCUGGGGGAGUACGGUCGCAAGAUUAAAACUCAAAUGAAUUGACGGGGGGCCGCACAA